GUCCAGGGAUGGGCAUCGAACCCACAAUGUUCCGCUUACCGGGCAGAUGUUAUGUCCACUAGGCUACCCUGGA
rnacentral:tRNA from 1 species